GGGUUAAGUCCCGCAACGAGCGCAACCCCUGUGAACUGUUGCCACCAAGCCGUGAGGCUUGAGCACUCUGUUCAGACUGCCCUGUGAAACGGGGAGGAAGGUGGGGACGACGUCAAGUCAGUAUGGCCCUUACGGCCAGGGCUGCACACGUACUACAAUGCCCAGUACAGAACGAUCCGAGACCGCGAGGUGGAGGAAAUCUAGUAAAACUGGGCCCAGUUCGGAUUGGAGUCUGCAACUCGACUCCAUGAAGCCGGAAUCGCUAGUAAUGGCGCAUCAGCUACGGCGCCGUGAAUACGUUCCCGGGCCUUGUACACACCGCCCGUCACAUCAUGGAAGUCACUUGUAGCCGAAGUACACACACCAACCCGCAAGGGAAGUAGUGUCCUACGCUAUGAGUGGUAACUGGGAUGAAGUCGUAACAAGGUAA
rnacentral:rRNA from 1 species